UCUUUAAUCCUUCUGUUUCGGCCGUUUUCUCCAUCUCUUACCUCCAUUAUCGAUUCACCUUCUUCUCUCCUCAUCUCACCGACUCAUACUCUUUUUUGUUCGUCAUCUUCAUAGUUCAAUCAGUAAGGCAUGGCUUUUCUCUUCGAUUUGUCACUUGGAUCUGGAGGGGUUUGGGUUUGUGUAAUGCCUUGCCACUCGGAUUAACCAUUGACGCUACGAUUUUGGUCGUUUGAUGAGUUGUUGAUGCUACCCGAUUGUUGCCUGAGUUGAUUCGAGAAUGGUAGGAUUGAGGUAUACAUUCCACCCUUUUUUCUAAGUGUCGAUGAUGAGGACGAUCUUCCACAUAUUUCUUUGUUGUUGUUAGUUGUCUGUUAUGUUUACAUAUUCAUGUUGAAAUCGGUUUUAUUUUCCUUAUGAUUAUGUGCAAAAAAAAUUUUUUUGUCAUAGCUCAAUAUCCAUGCAUUUUUUUGUUGGGUUUACGAUUUUGGUAUGGCUUCCGAUUUUCCCAUGUGCUUUUACACAAAUUUAUUUUGCUUAUUUCUGUCCUUCGAUCCAGUUAUGUACUCCAUCAUGAGCAUCAUUUUGUUGUUGUAGCACACAUAGGUAUUCCGUUUUGUGAAAUUUUUUAGUACUAUGUUCUGUUAUACUUUUCCAUUUGAUGGUCUUUGUUUCCAUUCGUCCGCUGGCUCACGGUUUAUUGUAAAUGUUUAUGUUUAUUCUUUGUUUAUUAUGUUGUUUGUGUGUACUGGUUUACUGAUUUUUUUCUAUGUUGUUCUGGAUCUUUUGCUUACUGAUUAUUAUGUAUGUCCUUCCAUAUUAAAUUAUGUUCUUUCUGUAUAUUGGUUUACUGAUUGUUGUGUAUGUCGUUCCAUAUGUUUAUCAUGUUGUUUGUGUGUAUUGGUUUCCUCAUUUCUGUACGUGUCAUGCCUUUCAUAUCACUACAUUUGAUGACAUUCCGUAUGAAGUUCAAUUUCCUAAUAUGAAACAAACUUCUUUUCUCUGAGGCAAAAAAAAAAAACAUAAGUUUCCUGUUUCUCUUUGAUUUUUUCUGCAUAAGUUUUCCAUGCACGUACGUUAUAACAAUUUCGUAUUUCUCAUGGUUACGUGACGGUAGGUCUUCAAGCAAAGGUAUGCAACUACCUUCCUUUCAUUUUUUUAACAUUUUCACACAUAUACAUAAACUGCAUUAACAAUUUAUAAUGAAUGUUUCUUAUUUUCAUUGCAGUGGUGGGAGUACAUAACGAGAUAGAAAUUAACCUUCUACAGUCCCUACAGCCUCCUGCAUAAAAAAAGGUCCUUAUCGUGCAUGUAUGUCAUUUCUUUAUUUUAUUUCAUAUGUUUAAGUACAUGGACACAUUAUAAAGACGUAGUCACACUUGUGUAAUGUACAAGGGACUUUAAUAGUAAAUAUUUUUUUAUUUACACUAUGGUUUUCGUUGAUGUUUUAAGAA